GAGAUGUUAGUAAAAUAAUUACACAGCCUUGUCAGGGCUAAAUUGCAGGUGAAACUCCAGCACAUCUCC
rnacentral:tRNA from 1 species